GGAGGUAGUGACAAUAAAUCACAAUGCGGGACUAUUCGUCUUGCAAUUGGAUUGAGAACAAUGUACAACUCUUAUCGAUAAGCCAUUGGAGGGCAAGUCUGGUGCCAGCAGCCGCGGUAAUUCCAGCUCCAAUAGCGUAUAUUAACGUUGUUGCAGUUAAAAAGCUCGUAGUUGAAGUGUGGGUGAUCGCUGUUGUGAGACUUCGGUCUCUCGACAGUAAGUCACCCCCUUCCAGUAUCCAGUAGUGGGUAUUCAGUUACUUACUAUUGUGUGUUGGUCGUUUACUGUGAGAAAAUUAGAGUGUUCAAAGCAGGCGUUUGCUUGAAUAGAUUAGCAUGGAAUAAUAAUUGAAGGCUUUCGUGUUCGAUUUGAUUGGUUUGUUCAUGGAAGCAAGGUUAAAAGGAACAGUUGGGGGUAUUCAUAUUCACUAGUUAGAGGUGAAAUUCUCGGAUUUAUGGAAGAUGAACAAGUGCGAAAGCA
rnacentral:rRNA from 1 species